GACGAACGCUGGCGGCGUGCCUAAUACAUGCAAGUAGAACGCAGUUGCGAACGGGUGAGUAACGCGUAGGUAACCUGCCCUUCAGAGGGGGACAACAGUUGGAAACGACUGCUAAUACCGCAUACUGAAGGAGGGGAUUGCGUCUGAUUAGCUAGUUGGAGGGGUAACGGCCCACCAAGGCGAUGAUCAGUAGCCGGUCUGAGGGGAUGAACGGCCACAUUGGGACUGAGACACGGUCCAAACUCCUACGGGAGGCAGAAGUGAGGAAUAUUGGUCAAUGGGCGUUAGCCUGAACCAGCCAAGUAGCGUGAAGGAUGAAGGUCUAUGGGUCGUAAACUUCUUUUAUAUAAGAAUAUGUAUUAUAUGAAUAAGGAUCGGCUAACUCCGUGCCAGCCGCCGCGGUAAUAC
rnacentral:rRNA from 1 species